UGUCAGGGUCACAGGGCAGAGGCAGCUCCAGGGGGGAUCUCUGACCCUUCCCAAGCAGUGAAAGUUGGGAAGUGUCUCCCCCCGCAGCUGUGGCUUCCAGCAGAGACCGGAGACUAGAACCAGCAGCACUUACAGAGAUUUAUAGCCCAUGGAAAAGAGCUUCUCAGCUCACAUGUUUACUUCGGAGAACUCUGUGGAGGCAUCAAGGGCCAGGGUCAACAUACACCACUGCAGCUUUGUCUCUCAAGCGUUUCGGGCCAUGUUAUGUGUUUGGAAGACAACAAUGGGGAGGAAAGGCUGUUUAUGUGGUUUUUGUAAAAUAUGCAGAAGCUAUGAAAAUAAGUGCUCUAUCAAUAAUAAAUGGAAUGGAAAAUAGAAGCAAACAAGUCAAAGAAAGAUGCGGUGGAAGGCAUUUCAUCUUCUAUCACCCAUCUCUGCUCCAAGCAUCUCAGCCACCUACAAAAAGACUCACUUCAACUCCCAGAGACUGCGUGCUGAAUUUCAUGAUGAACUCAAAUGCUUUCUUCCCAGCCUUUCCCUUCAUUCUCACAGUGUGGCCCCGCCUGCGCAUAUUGUCAUUUAGCACGGAUCAAAGCCUUACACUGAGAGGAUGGAGUCUUUGGAGACAGUGAAAUCUCAAACAUCUGCCAGUGGGUAGAUAAGGAGGCGGGGGCAUCAGGGUGCACCCCGCAAAUCACAUCACAUGUAACUAUUGGGGUCAGGAAAGUUAAACCUCUCACUACAACAAAUCACUACCAUAAAAUAUCAGUGAACUUUCACAAGGAAAAUCAGGGCAAGGUGAUCUAUGUCAGCUACGCCUGUCUGUUUCCUCUAAUGAAAUUUUGACUGGUUCUUUUCAGUUGCUAAUGAACUUCAGAGACUCUCCAUUCUACUUUAUCUCUAGGUCUUAACAUUGAAAAUAGCGUAAUCAUUUUAAUAAAAUGUUAUC